CCUACGGGAGGCUGCAGUGAGGAAUAUUGGUCAAUGGGCUUACGCCUGAACCAGCCAAGUCGCGUGAGGGAAGACUGCCCUAUGGGUUGUAAACCUCUUUUGUCAGGGAGCAACGCCGGCUACGUGUAGCCGGACUGAGAGUACCUGAAGAAAAAGCAUCGGCUAACUCCGUGCCAGCAGCCGCGGUAAUACGGAGGAUGCGAGCGUUAUCCGGAUUUAUUGGGUUUAAAGGGUGCGUAGGCGGAAUGCCAAGUCAGCGGUAAAAUCGCGGGGCUCAACCUCGCUCCGCCGUUGAAACUGUCGUUCGUGAGUGGGCGAGAAGUAUGCGGAAUGCGUGGUGUAGCGGUGAAAUGCAUAGAUAUCACGCAGAACUCCGAUUGCGAAGGCAGCAUACCGGCGCCCAACUGACGCUGAAGCACGAAAGCGUGGGUAUCGAACAGGAUUAGAUACCCCUGUAGUC
rnacentral:rRNA from 1 species